GAUGUUGAUGAUGAUGAUGAUUUCGUGCAAGAUGCCCAUUUUUACUACACGAACUACCAGAACUGCGCCGUCAUGGAGCAACCCUUCAAUGGUCUGCAUGAGUGCGUAUUGUGGACCACAACGGAAAG
rnacentral:lncRNA from 1 species